AACGAACGCUGGCGGCGUGCCUAACACAUGCAAGUCGAGCGCGAAAGUUCCUUCGGGAGCGAGUAGAGCGGCGGACGGGUGAGUAAUACAUAGGUAAUCUACCUCGAGCUUGGGAUAACCCCGCGAAAGUGGGGCUAAUACCGGAUAAGACCACGUAAUUAUUUUACGGGGUAAAAGGUGGCUUAUUUUUUAAAUGAGCUAUCACUUGAGGAUGAGCCUGUGGCCUAUCAGCUAGUUGGCGGGGUAAGAGCCCACCAAGGCUAUGACGGGUAGCUGGUCUGAGAGGACGACCAGCCACACUGGGACUGAGACACGGCCCAGACUCCUACGGGAGGCAGCAGUGGGGAAUCUUGCGCAAUGGGCGAAAGCCUGACGCAGCGACGCCGCGUGGAGGGUGAAGGUCUUCGGAUUGUAAACUCCUGUUAAGAGGGAAGAAAUCCUUUUAUUUAAUAGAUAAAGGGGAUGACGGUACCUUUAGAGAAAGUCCCGGCUAACUUCGUGCCAGCCGCCGCGGUAA
rnacentral:rRNA from 1 species